UACAGAGGUGGCAAGCGUUGUUCGGAAUUACUGGGCGUAAAGGGCGCGUAGGCGGCCUUCUAAGUCAGACGUGAAAUCCCCGGCUUAACCUGGGAACUGCGUCUGAUACUGGAGGGCUUGAGUGCGGGAGAGGGAUGUGGAAUUCCAGGUGUAGCGGUGAAAUGCGUAGAUAUCUGGAGGAACACCGGUGGCGAAGGCGGCAUCCUGGACCGACACUGACGCUGAGGCGCGAAAGCUAGGUAGCAACGGG
rnacentral:rRNA from 1 species